CCCUGGCUGGUUCAGUUGGUAGAGCAUGUGACUCUUAAUCUCAGGGUUGUGAGUUCAAGUCCCAUGUUAGGUA
rnacentral:tRNA from 1 species